rnacentral:lncRNA from 1 species
GCUAAUUGCAUUGAAAGCAAACAAAGAUACGUUGUUUACAAAACAUUUUUAGAAUAUUUAUAUACCGGUAGAAUCAAUCUGUCAUCUUUUGAGGACCUGUUAGUUGAGUUUGAGUUAAACGUAUCGCAUAUUACAUCUGCAAUUUGCGAUUAAAUAUUUCGUCGUUGCAGAUCUUUUGCAAUUGGCAGAUAAAGUCUGCCUGAAAAAUCUCCAGAUAAAUUGUACAGGAACAAUAAAAAAAACAAUUACUGUAUCAAAUGUCAUACACUUCUUUAACCUUAUCAACAAAAUGGCGGAACAUUACAGGAAGGAAUUGAUAAAAUAUUGCUUCAACUUCUAUUUUAAAAGCAUGACAAAUGUAAUACGGACAGAAGGUUCUCAACAAUUGGAUGUCGCAACAAAGGCUAUGUUUAUAGAUAAAG